rnacentral:lncRNA from 1 species
CGUGUGUAUGUGUACAUGAUUUCCCACCAGAAUGACCGAUUUACCGCUAUGGAAAAUAGUCCAUAAACGUUCCGUAUAAUGAUAUGCAAAUUCAUAAUUAAUCGUAACUUUUUUUUAUCUUUGUAUAAUAAAUAUAACAAAAUGGAUUCCACAAAAUUGAAAAUAGCAUUAUUUUACGAGGAUUUCUCAUAUUUUUCUCACUUCCGGGCGCAGUAAUACGUAUGUUUUGAAGAAGCUAGAAGAAUUUGACAAAGUGAAUUGAGAAGGAAACGGGUAGAUAUACGUCCUUGUUAUCAGGUAAAACAAUUUUAAUGUACAGAACAAACACAUUUACUUCACACAAAUAGUACAGGCUUAAGCUUUUUAUUGUCUUACACGACUGUAGUCUAGUGUUUAAACGACGGCGGUGACCUACAAGGUACGGGUCAAACUGGGUCAAGUCUAAAUAUGUAAACAUAUCCACGUGCUAUUAGGUAGAAAGCAUCGUAAUGCAAUAUCUACAAUUUUUCCUCUUUUAUACAUCGUUUAACCAGAUAUAUUUCUCCUUUAUACAUCGUUUAACCAGAUAUAUUUCUCCUUUAUACAUCGUUUAACCAGAUAUAUUUCUCCUUUAUACAUCGUUUAACCAGAUAUAUUUCUCCUUUAUACAUCGUUUAACCAGAUAUAUUUCUCUUUCAAAUACACUUAAACACGGGUUGUAUGUACGUAUCUUUUCUAUUGUUUUCUUGUCCUUAUUGUCGAGCUUUCGACUUUAGUCGAAAAAGCGAGACUAAGCGAUCCUACAUUCCGUCGUCGGCGGCGUCAACAAAUAUUCACUCUGUGCCUGUGGUUAAAGUUUUUGAAAUUUUAAUAACUUUCUUAAACUAUACUGGAUUUCUACCAAACUUUGAGAGAAGCUUGUUUAUGAUCAUAAGAUAGUAUCCAGAAGUAAAUUUUGUAAAAAUAAAAUUCCAUUUUUUCCGUAUUUUACUAUAAAUGGACUUAGUUUUUUCUGCGGGGAAACAAAAUAUUCACUCUGUGGUUAAAGUUUUUAGAAUUUUAAUAACUUUCUCAAACUAUCCUUGGUUUGUACCAAACUUGGACAGAAGCUUGUUUAUGAUCAUAAGAUAAUAUCCAGAAGUAAAUUUUGUAAAAAUAAAAUUCCAUUUUUUCCGUAUUUUACUUAUAAAUGGACUUAGUUUUUUCUGCGGGGAAACAUUACAUUCACUCUGUGGUUAAAGUUUUUAGAAAUUUAAUAACUUUCUAAAACUAUCCUGGGUUUGUACCAAACUUGGACAGAAGCUUGUUUAUGAUCAUAAGAUAGUAUCAAGAAGUACAUUUUGUAAAUAAAUAAAUCCAUUUUUUCCAUAUUUUACUUUUAAAUGGUCUUAGUUUUUUCUGCGGGAAACCAUUACAUUCACUCUGUGGUUAAAGUUUUUAAAAUUUUAACAACUUUCUUAAACUAUCAUGGGUUUGUACCAAACUUGGACAGAAGCUUAUUUAUGAUCAUAAGAUUGUAUCCAGAAGUAAAGUGUGUAAAAAGAUUACUCCGUUUUUUCUGUAAUUUACUUUAAAAUGGACUUAGAUUUUUUACAAUCAUAAAAUAGUAACAAGAGGAAUAUUUUUAUUGAUUUUUUUCCUCAUUGUUGUUGAGCCUGCGAUUUACAGCAAAAAUAGGCGAGACACUGGGUUCCGCGGAACCCUUACAAAUUUUUAAAGUUCAUUUGUUGAUGUUUAAAUAUUUUUGAACGACUGAACACAGGAGUGAAUGAAUGCAACAAUUAUAUAUACUGAAGACUUGGGCUGUACAAUGAUAGUGUACGUAUUUAGUUAAUUUAGGAUGUAAUGACAGGAAUUCACGAGUUAUGCCUCAGGCUUUUUGAAAAAAUAUCAAUGACAAUGUAAACAGGAACAAAACAUUGACACGAAUGAUGCUCUCUUCUUUGUUAUAGUUAUUUGGGUAUGUGUGUUGCACAAGUUUCAACAAAACUUAAGUUAUAAAACUUUUUUUCAGGGCACAAACCCACUUUAAAGAGACUUGUCUACUGCCAUACCCAUCCUAUUUUCAUGCACCAUUUGCAAGCAAGAGACUGAAUGGUUUGCAAAAUUAAAAAUCAGGACCGUGUCCAAUUAAAACAAAAGAACUAAACUGGAUGAAUAUUGUAGGAGAAAUCUAGAGGAAAGUUUUGAUUUGUGAAAUUGGUUUUCCUGAAAAGUCAUUCAUCCUAGCCUGCAGGAAGGAACUAUAACUGUCCACCACCAACUGACGAGCUAAUGUUGAGCUUCACAUAUGGAAUUACUCAAAUACCAUCAAUGUCUAUGUUUUCAGCACAGAUUUCACAAGUUAUGACACAGCUGUGCUUUUUUUAUACCUGUUAAAGAGUUGUAUACUAAAUUUUAUUUUUUUAUCAAUAAAUAUAUAUUGUGUCA